GGACUCCUCCACACACCUGCAUGAAGCCACCGUCACCAGCUUUGAUCCAGGGCCAGAACUCUGCUCAGCUAUGAGGAGAGGAGGAGCUUCCUGAUGCAACAACACCUCAGAUGAUGCAAGUGGGGCCUCUGUAGUGCCGCCCACCUCUUUCACACACACAAACACACACAAACCCUCCUGCCCUCCCAGUCCUACAGAAGCUCAGUUUGGAGAAGGUGCACCAGUGGUUGUGUUCAGAGCAGCUCUCUCCAGAUCUCGAGGGCCAGCAUGACUCUCCAAGCUCUCCUCCCAGUGUCUCUCUCUCUACUCUGGCUCACAGGUACUGUAGGGUCAGUGGCUACACAGGAAACAUCUCCAUGAUAGACUAGAUAACGCUCACACGCUGUAGAUGGUUACAGGAGCAUCAUUUCCACUCUGCUUGAGUCUUGCCCGGAAAACUGCAGAGAUGAACUGCAGCCAUGAGAAAGAUGUGGAGCUACAGCUCAACAAGUCCUCCAGCACCAGGCUGGGGGUGAAGUCUUGUUCUGGAUCACACCAGAGCUCAGAGCUCCUCAGAGUCCCUGAACAUUUCUGGACUGGGAGUCAACAUGAUCACAUGUCUCAUAGGCACAGGGAUUUUCUUCAUCCUGACCGGUGUGUGUCAGACUGUGGAGGUCCACCAGACUCCCUCUCAUCUCCUCAGCAGAGAUGGAGAUACUGUGCAGCUCGUCUGCACCCACAGUAAAUCAGAAAAUACAAAGAUGCUCUGAUACUUCCAGAAACCAGUGGACACAGCUCUCAUACUCAUCGGGUAUUUG